GUACUUGCUUCGGCAGCACAUAUACUAAAAUUAAAACGAUACAGGGAUGAUUAUCAUGGCCCCUGCUCAAGGAUGACAUGUGAAUUCAUGAAGUGUUCCAUAUUUUU
ensembl:snRNA U6 U6 spliceosomal RNA